rnacentral:rRNA from 1 species
AAGUCGUAACAAGGUCUCCGUAGGUGAACCUGCGGAGGGAUCAUUAAAAGUGCCAAACCCACGCCGCGGCCCCGAGCAAUCGGGGCUUGCCGCUGGGGUAAAAACACAACCCACUGUCGUCCGACCGCGUUGCCUCGGGAGAGACCGCCGCCGCAAGGCGUGACGGUCCCCCGGUGGACCAAACCAAACUCUUGCGUAACAUUGCAGUCUGAGUGAUUUAUUAAAUGAAUCAAAACUUUCAACAACGGAUCUCUUGGUUCUGGCAUCGAUGAAGAACGCAGCGAAAUGCGAUAAGUAAUGUGAAUUGCAGAAUUCAGUGAAUCAUCGAAUCUUUGAACGCACAUUGCGCCCCGUGGUAUUCCGCGGGGCAUGCCUGUUCGAGCGUCAUUACACCACUCAAGCCUCGCUUGGUAUUGGGCGACGCGGUACGCCGCGCGCCUCUAAACGACCGGCUGGGUCGACCGUCCCUCAGCGUUGUGGAAACUAUUCGCUACGGGUCGCGGUCGGGCACGCCGUUAAACAACCAACUCAAAGGUUGACCUCGGAUCAGGUAGGGAUACCCGCUGAACUUAAGCAUAUCAAUAAGCGGAGGAAAAGAAACCAACAGGGAUUGCCCUAGUAACGGCGAGUGAAGCGGCAAAAGCUCAAAUUUGAAAUCUGGCGCCUUCGGCGUCCGAGUUGUAAUUUGUAGAGGAUGUUUCUGGGCAGCCACCGGUCUAAGUUCCUUGGAACAGGACGUCAUAGAGGGUGAGAAUCCCGUAUGCGACCGGAAGGGCACCCUACACGUAACUCCUUCGACGAGUCGAGUUGUUUGGGAAUGCAGCUCUAAAUGGGAGGUAAAUUUCUUCUAAAGCUAAAUACCGGCCAGAGACCGAUAGCGCACAAGUAGAGUGAUCGAAAGAUGAAAAGCACUUUGGAAAGAGAGUUAAAAAGCACGUGAAAUUGUUGAAAGGGAAGCGCUUGCAACCAGACUUGCUCGCGGUGUUCCGCCGGUCUUCUGACCGGUUCAUUCGCCGCGUUGCAGGCCAGCAUCGUCUGGGGCCGCCGGAUAAGACUUUGGGAAUGUAGCUCCCCUCGGGGAGUGUUAUAGCUCAUCGUGAUGCGGCGCGUCCCGGGCGAGGUCCGCGCUUCGGCUAGGAUGCUGGCGUAAUGGUUGUAAGCGGCC